rnacentral:tRNA from 1 species
GGAGGGGUGGCAGAGCGGACGAAUGCGGCGGUCUUGAAAACCGCUGAAGCCGCAAGGCUUCCGUGGGUUCGAAUCCCACCCCCUCCG